UAACUGGUAAAUAAGGUGGUUCAGAAGAGGCAACUUCACUUCAGGUGAGAGGUGGCACUCUGAGCAUGGAGACGUUUCCACAGAGCAAAGAAGUCCCCAGCUGUCAUAUCGGUGCCUUGUGUGAUGCAGUUUUAGACCACAAGGUUUCCAGAGAUCUU